rnacentral:rRNA from 1 species
GAUGAACGCUGGCGGCGUGCCUAAUACAUGCAAGUCGAGCGAACGGACGAGAAGCUUGCUUCUCUGAUGUUAGCGGCGGACGGGUGAGUAACACGUGGAUAACCUACCUAUAAGACUGGGAUAACUGCGGGAAACCGGAGCUAAUACCGGAUAAUAUUUUGAACCGCAUGGUUCAAAAGUGAAAGACGGUCUUGCUGUCACUUAUAGAUGGAUCCGCGCUGCAUUAGCUAGUUGGUAAGGUAACGGCUUACCAAGGCAACGAUGCAUAGCCGACCUGAGAGGGUGAUAGGCCACACUGGAACUGAGCCACGGUCCAGACGCCUACGGGAGGCAGCAGUCGGGAACCGUCCGCAAUGGGGGAGAACCUGACGGAGCAACGCCACGUGAGUGAUAAAGGUCUUCGGAUCGUAAAACUCUGUUAUGAGGGAAGAACAUAUGUGUAAGUAACUGUGCACAUCUUGACGGUACCUAAUCAGAAAGCCACGGCUAACUACGUG